UACGUAGGUGGCGAGCGUUGUCCGGAUUUACUGGGCGUAAAGAGCGCGCAGGCGGUCGUUCAAGUCGCGUGUGAAAGCCCCCGGCUCAACUGGGGAGGGUCACGCGAUACUGAUCGACUCGAAGGCAGGAGGAGGGAAGUGGAAUUCCCGGUGUAGUGGUGAAAUGCGUAGAUAUCGGGAGGAACACCAGUGGCGAAGGCGACUUCCUGGCCUGUUCUUGACGCUGAGGCGCGAAAGCUGAGGGUAGCAAACGGGG
rnacentral:rRNA from 1 species